rnacentral:rRNA from 1 species
UGAGGAAUAUUGGGCAAUGCCCGCAAGGGUGACCCAGCAACGCCGCGUGGAGGAUGAAUGUCGUAAGAUUGUAAACUCCUGUUAGAGGGGAAGAAUAGUACCGGUUGGACCGGUAUAUGACUGUACCCUCAGAGAAAGCCCCGGCUAACUACGUGCCAGCAGCCGCGGUAAUACGUAGGGGGCAAGCGUUGUCCGGAUUUACUGGGUGUAAAGGGCGCGCAGGCGGGAUAAAAAGUCAGUGGUGAAAUCCUACAGCUUAACUGUAGAACUGCCUUUGAUACUUUUAUUCUUGAGUUCGGGAGAGAGAGACGGAAUUCCAGGUGUAGUGGUGAAAUACGUAGAUAUCUGGAAGAACACCAGUUGCGAAGGCGGUCUCUUGGUCCGACACUGAUGCUGAGGCGCGAAAGCGUGGGGAGCAAACA